UACGUAGGGAGCAAGCGUUGUCCGGAGUCAUUGGGCGUAAAGCGCGCGUAGGCGGCCUCAUAUGUCCGUUGUGAAAGUCAAAGGCUCAACCUUUGAAAGCCGAUGGAUACUGUGAGGCUAGAGUCCGGAAGAGGCGAGUGGAAUUCCUGGUGUAGCGGUGGAAUGCGCAGAUAUCAGGAGGAACACCAAUAGCGAAGGCAGCUCGCUGGGACGGUACUGACGCUAAGGCGCGAAAGCGUGGGGAGCGAACAGG
rnacentral:rRNA from 1 species